GACGAACGCUGGCGGCGUGCUUAACACAUGCAAGUCGAACGGAAAGGCCCUGCUUUUGUGGGGUGCUCGAGUGGCGAACGGGUGAGUAACACGUGAGUAACCUGCCCUUGACUUUGGGAUAACUUCAGGAAACUGGGGCUAAUACCGGAUAGGAGCUCCUGCUGCAUGGGGGGGGUUGGAAAGUUUCGGCGGUUGGGGAUGGACUCGCGGCUUAUCAGCUUGUUGGUGGGGUAGUGGCUUACCAAGGCUUUGACGGGUAGCCGGCCUGGGAGGGUGACCGGCCACAUUGGGACUGAGAUACGGCCCAGACUCCUACGGUAGGCAGUAGUGGGGAAUAUUGCACAAUGGGCGGAAGCCUGAUGCAGCAACGCCGCGUGCGGGAUGACGGCCUUCGGGUUGUAAACCGCUUUCGCCUGUGACGAAGCGUGAGUGACGGUAAUGGGUAAAGAAGCACCGGCUAACUACGUG
rnacentral:rRNA from 1 species